rnacentral:rRNA from 1 species
AUUGAACGCUGGCGGCAUGCCUAACACGUGCAAGUCGAACGGUAACAGGCAAAGCUUGCUUUGCGCUGACGAGUGGCGGACGGGUGAGUAACGCGUAGGAAUCUGCCUUAAAGUGGGGGACAACCCGGGGGAAACUCGGGCUAAUACCGCAUGUGCCCUUCGGGGUAAAGCUGGGGAUCUUCGGACCUGGCGCUUUAAGAGGAGCCUGCGUUGGAUUAGCUAGUUGGUAGGGUAAAGGCCUACCAAGGCGACGAUCCAUAGCUGGUCUGAGAGGAUGAUCAGCCACACUGGAACUGAGACACGGUCCAGACUCCUACGGGAGGCAGCAGUGGGGAAUAUUGGACAAUGGGGGGC